rnacentral:misc_RNA from 1 species
GCGUGAGGUCGGAGGUUCAGUCCUCCCAGGCCCACCACUUCGCAAUCCGCAAGAUUGUCGGAUCUCCUCGAUAUCCGUCGGGAAACACUAUCAGGGGCCGUAGCUCAGCUGGGAGAGCGCCUGCUUUGCAAGCAGGAUGUCGUCGGUUCGAUCCCGUCCGGCUCCACCAACCAUCUUCUGUGAAGGUGGGGCGUGUCGAGUAGAGGAUGAUCGCCCGCGGUCAGUCAUUCGAAAAAGAGUUUGCGGCGCGCUUCGUGCUCUCCGCCUGUUCUGUUUGACAUCGUAAAGAGAAGAUUUGUUCGAACUUCACGGCUGCAAGGCUGUGAUUUGUCGCAAGGACGCUCAAUCCCUUGCCUAUGAUGGGUUUGCCUAACCGCGCCCUCGAACGGAUCUCGAGAAGCUGGUCUUUUUGUGCCAAUUCCAUUGAAGCAAGCCCCGCACAGGGUUUUGCUCAGGCGGCGAUCCUUCGGAUCGCGCAGAUGGGUAUUGGCAAUGAGAACGAUCAAGUGUCUUAAGGGCAAUUGGUGGAUGCCUUGGCAUGCACAGGCGAUGAAGGACGUGAUACGCUGCGAUAAGCUACGGGGAGGUGCGAAUACCCUUUGAUCCGUAGAUCUCCGAUGG